UACGUAGGGUGCAAGCGUUAAUCGGAAUUACUGGGCGUAAAGCGUGCGCAGGCGGUUGUGUAAGACAGAUGUGAAAUCCCCGGGCUCAUCCUGGGAACUGCAUUUGUGACUGCACAGCUGGAGUGCGGCAGAGGGGGAUGGAAUUCCGCGUGUAGCAGUGAAAUGCGUAGAUAUGCGGAGGAACACCGAUGGCGAAGGCAAUCCCCUGGGCCUGCACUGACGCUCAUGCACGAAAGCGUGGGGAGCAAACAGG
rnacentral:rRNA from 1 species